UACGAGGGGGGCGAGCGUUGUUCGGAAUUAUUGGGCGUAAAGGGUGCGUAGGCGGUUUGGUAAGUCUUGUGUGAAAUCUUCGGGCUCAACUCGAAGUCUGCACGAGAAACUGCCGGGCUUGAGUUCGGGAGAGGUGAGUGGAACUGCGAGUGUAGAGGUGAAAUUCGUAGAUAUUCGCAAGAACACCAGUGGCGAAGGCGGCUCACUGGCCCGAUACUGACGCUGAGGCACGAAAGCGUGGGGAGCAAACAGG
rnacentral:rRNA from 1 species